GUAGGGUCGACGAAACGUCACACGCGACGAAUUAAUAUCGGAGCAUACGUAUUUUAGGAGCAACCAUAGGGAAUAACGUACAAGGAAACGAACAGCAAAGGGUCGAGUCUAUAAAUUAAUGCCGUUCGUUACAGUUCGACUCGAAUGAUCGACUUGAAGCACCGGAAACGAAUCACGACGGCAGAGUUACGCAAGCAUUCUUCGAACGAAUUACGAUACGAUCAAAUUGGAAUCGGAGAAUAGUCGAAACGAAAGCUUUUCCAAGAGAUCUCGAAUCUUCCAACACCAGGCACGCGGAAUCGAUUGUAAAUAUCGGUAUAAUAAAUGUCGGCUUCUAUUUACAUCGAUCAACGCGAGAGCCGGUGGCUCGUGGUGCAAACGGCGCUCAGGAGAAAAAUCUGGCAGGCGGGAACGAUUCGGAUGAUACGCUGUUCGCAACAGCAACGGUAAUAGCAGCAACAGCAGCAGCGGCAACAAUAACACGAAUACUAGCAGGUAUACGAAUACAGGUAUGCAGCUAUCGGUUGUCGGAUUCACAGCAAAUUCUAGCAAAGCGAGAGGAGCUCACCGGCGGCGGCCAUUGUCCUCGAUCGAGCUCGAUCGGAGAUAGUCAGGUAUGUGACUCGAGGGGGAAAAAGGAAACGACCGUCCAGCUGGAACUCGGGCGCACUCGUGCAAGGCGGUUUACAACAAAGAAUAAAGAAAACUAGGCACACCUGUUGCCGCGCCGGAUGCUUCCCGAUUUCUCGAUUUUGCCACGGGAAAAUUCGACUUUGAUAAAUUCGGCUCGCAACUCGACGACUCGUCGUCCGACUAUUGGAACAAACUAUUAGACGAAACGUGUAAAAUAUACGAGUAUAUACGAGCGAGUAAACAAGCGGCAGUUUCCUCCGGUCUUUCUUCCAGCGAUCUCUUAGUAAGCUUCGGAUGUUUAUCGUUGUACGGAUUAUAGGCACGCGAUAGGUAAAAGAUCUAUCAAGUACACCGAGUUAGACGUUCGUUAUAAUAUUUGAUAUCGCACAAGCAAUAUCGCGCGUGAAUCGGCGCGAACGUCGGUGACGAUUGAUCGGAGGCAAGUUUCUCGAGAUCCGAAAAGGAUGUUGAAACGGGAACGAUUCAAACGAAAGUGUCGGUCAAGUUCGACGAUGACAAGCAAAGAUGUCGACGUUAUUUUUAAUAGUACCUAUAUAUCUUGAUUUAUUGCACGACCCCAACGACUAACGGUAAAGAUACUUCAAAGCUAUUUCCUCAGGUAUAUUUACAAAGGAUCGUGUCGGUCGAGGGUCUUC
rnacentral:misc_RNA from 1 species